GAGCGGCGUACGGGUGCGUAACACGUGUGCAACCUGCCUUUAUCUGGGGGAUAGCCUUUCGAAAGGAAGAUUAAUACCCCAUAAUAUGGUGUCCGGCAUCGGUCGCCAUUGAAAGCCUCGGCGGAUAGAGAUGGGCACGCGCAAGAUUAGAUAGUUGGCGGGGUAACGGCCCACCAAGUCGAUGAUCUUUAGGGGUCCUGAGAGGGAGAUCCCCCACACUGGUACUGAGACACGGACCAGACUCCUACGGGAGGCAGCAGUGAGGAAUAUUGGACAAUGGGUGGAAGCCUGAUCCAGCCAUCCCGCGUGAAGGAUGACGGUCCUAUGGAUUGUAAACUUCUUUUGUACAGGGAUAAACCUGCCCUCGUGAGGGCAGCUGAAGGUACUGUACGAAUAAGCACCGGCUAACUCCGUGCCAGCAGCCGCGGUAAUACGGAGGGUGCGAGCGUUAUCCGGAUUUAUUGGGUUUAAAGGGUCCGUAGGCGGGCCUGUAAGUCAGUGGUGAAAUCUCAUAGCUUAACUAUGAAACUGCCAUUGAUACUGCAGGCCUUGAGUAAAUUUGAAGUGGCUGGAAUAAGUAGUGUAGCGGUGAAAUGCAUAGAUAUUACUUAGAACACCGAUUGCGAAGGCAGGUCACUAAGAUUUAACUGACGCUGAUGGACGAAAGCGUGGGGAGCGAACAGGAUUAGAUACCCUGGUGGUCCACGCCGUAAACGAUGCUAACUCGUUUUUGGAUCUUCGGGUUCAGAGACCAAGCGAAAGUGAUAAGUUAGCCACCUGGGGAGUACGUCCGCAAGGAUGAAACUCAAAGGAAUUGACGGGGGCCCGCACAAGCGGUGGAUUAUGUGGUUUAAUUCGAUGAUACGCGAGGAACCUUACCAAGACUUAAAUGGGAAUUGACAGAUUUAGAAAUAGAUCCUCCUUCGGGCAAUUUUCAAGGUGCUGCAUGGUUGUCGUCAGCUCGUGCCGUGAGGUGUUAGGUUAAGUCCUGCAACGAGCGCAACCCCUGCCAACAGUUGCCAUCAUUCAGUUGGGGACUCUGUUGGGACUGCCUACGCAAGUAGAGAGGAAGGUGGGGAUGACGUCAAAUCAUCACGGCCCUUACGUCUUGGGCCACACACGUAAUACAAUGGCCGGUACAGAGGGCAGCUACCUGGUGACAGGAUGCGAAUCUCGAAAGCCGGUCUCAGUUCGGAUUGGAGUCUGCAACUCGACUCUAUGAAGCUGGAAUCGCUAGUAAUCGCGCAUCAGCCAUGGCGCGGUGAAUACGUUCCCGGGCCUUGUACACACCGCCCGUCAAGCCAUGGAAGUCUGGGGUACCUGAAGUCGGUGACC
rnacentral:rRNA from 1 species